ACUCCUACGGGAGGCAGCAGUGGGGGAAUCUUGGACAAUGGGGGCGAACCCUGAUCCAGCCAUGCCGCGUGAGUGAUGAAGGCCUUAGGGUCGUAAAGCUCUUUCGCCUGUGAUGAUAAUGACAGUAGCAGGUAAAGAAACCCCGGCUAACUCCGUGCCAGCAGCCGCGGUAAUACGGAGGGGGUUAGCGUUGUUCGGAAUUACUGGGGCGUAAAGCGCGCGUAGGCGGAUUAGUCAGUUAGAGGUGAAAUCCCAGGGCUCAACCCUGGAACUGCCUUUAAUACUGCUAGUCUUGAGUUCGAGAGAGGUGAGUGGAAUUCCGAGUGUAGAGGUGAAAUUCGUAGAUAUUCGGAGGAACACCAGUGGCGAAGGCGGCUCACUGGCUCGAUACUGACGCUGAGGUGCGAAAGUGUGGGGGAGCAAACAGGAUUAGAUACCCUGGUA
rnacentral:rRNA from 1 species